CCCCCCAAUUUUGCUCUAGGCGAUGGAGGAAAUCGUUCUGGGUUUCGGCGGUCUGGGCGCUGGGCGUCGAUCUAUAAUAUUUUUAACCCAGACAUAUCUCUUCUCUCCUCCAAUCUGUCCCUCUCUCUCUCUCCCCUUCGAUCGGUGAAAACUCGGAAGUAAGUCUCUCUUUCUUUCUCUCAAACCUCUGGUGUCUGCCAGAGUUUCUAUUCAUUUAAUCAUUUAUAACUAUAUGUUGAUUAUCUUGAAUAUUUUGGCCAUUAUAUUCUGGGUCUUUUCAAAUUGAAUGAAUAUAUGUUGAACUGUUUUCCAAGAGGAAGCAAGAUUGGGGAACAAAGAAAAAAUCAAACUCUGUAAUUAGGGUUUUAGAGAGACACAGUAAUAUGGACCAUGGCCUUCGUCCCAGACAGAGGGAUUUCUUCAUUGGCUUCACAAAGGGCCAGUUGCAGCUCUGCUGAUCUCCAAAAGCCAGCUGAACUGGAUGGGAAGGCAUGUGCAGCUGUUGGACAGCCUGAUCUGAUGGCUCUCUUUAAGUCCGUGUUUAGUGAGAAUGUGACACAAGCUUAGUGUCUUGUCACAGAAAGUGACUUUAGGGGUAAAGAUUUUCAAAGGCAGCUGAAAGAAACGGUCGAUCACUUGCUGUCUUUAAAGACUAUACCUAUAUUCAAUGAAAAUGAUGCAGUUAGUACCAGAACAGAUUUAUGUGAGGAUUCUUCUGGUAUAUUUUGGGACAAUGACAGUUUGGCAGCUAUACUAGCUAAGGAGCUAAAGGCUGAUCUUCUUAUCCUUAUGAGUGAUGUGGAGGGUCUCUACAGUGGGCCUCCCAAGUGACACAAAUUCAGAGCUCAUUCAUUCAUACAUACAUAAAGGAGAGGCAUCAAGGCGGAGUCACUUGUGGAGUAAAAUCAAGAAUGGGACGAGGGGAAUGGCUGCGAAAGUAAAGGCUGCUGUUGAUGCAGCUUCUGCUGGCAUCCCUGUUGUCAUCACCAGGUGUUCUUCAAGACUUGGUUGGUGUCAUCAUUUUAUGAAAUUUUGUUAGAAAACUAGUGCAAUAUUAAUAUGACUAUAUCAAUAGUCUUUUAGACAAUGACAAACCUGCAUGCCAUAAUGGAAUUCAAUUUCUGAUAUUGAGAUUGUAUAUUGGGACUUCUCUUUAUUUGUCUUCACCAUAAUGAACAGAUGGAGAGAAUGGACAAAUUGGUGAGGGAGUCCGGAGAAGCAGUACUUGCCAAGAAUUUUGUCAAAAUUUGGCAAAAAGUUUUAAUGUUGAUUUAGCUUGGUGAAGCUGAUGAUUGGGAAAUAUAUCAAAAAGUGAUUGGUGGGCCUAGUCACGGUCGUGUACUUGGUUUAGGUGCUGGGGUGAAACUAAAAGAUUACACUUCACCUAACCAAACUUGUAAUAAGCCUACAUGUUUGGAACAAAAAGAAGAUUAUGAAAGAGUGAAAGGACAAGUUGAAUCUCUGACAGAUAAAUUGGACAAGGGACUCAAAUUGUUCAAAGUUUGCUGCCUAAUACCUCAGACAAUUCUAAAGCAAGAAACUCACAUUCUGUGACAAUAUUGCAACAGAUUCAAGUGCACACCAUGAUGAAGAUGUUGCUGAUGAAUAUGAUGCAAACUCUAAUGAGGACUUUUGUUAGAUAUAUUGUUAGCUUCCUUGCUUAAGAAAUGAUUAUAUUAUAAAGACCAAAUUUUGAAUAUUUAUCUUUGUUUGAACAUAUGUAUGAAUGAUUAACUAUGUUUCUUCUAAUGCAAUUUUUUUUAUGAAGAUUUAA